AACGAACGCUGGCGGCAGGCUUAACACAUGCAAGUCGAACGCCCCGCAAGGGGAGUGGCCGACGGGUGAGUAACGCGUGGGAACAUACCCUUUUCUAAGGAAUAGCUCUGGGACACUGGAAUUAAUACCGUAUACGCCCUACGGGGGAAAGAUUUAUCGGGGAAGGAUUGGCCCGCGUUGGAUUAGCUAGUUGGUGGGGUAAAGGCCUACCAAGGCGACGAUCCAUAGCUGGUCUGAGAGGAUGAUCAGCCACAUUGGGACUGAGACACGGCCCAAACUCCUACGGGAGGCAGCAGUGGGGAAUAUUGGACAAUGGGCGCAAGCCUGAUCCAGCCAUGCCGCGUGAGUGAUGAAGGCCUUAGGGUUGUAAAGCUCUUUCACCGAUGAAGAUAAUGACGGUAGUCGGAGAAGAAGCCCCGGCUAACUUCGUG
rnacentral:rRNA from 1 species